CAUCUCACUUACGUGCGGCCACGGCUGUGUCUCGGCAUGAAUUAAGAAGCUAAGAAGAUGCAGCGCGGCACACUCCUGGCCCAGCCCGGGCUCUGGACCAGGGGCAUCCGCUGGACGUUCCUCUGUUUCUUCUUCUGCAUCCUCCCCCAGACGGCCCCGCAAGUACUCCGGAUCGGGGGGAUUUUUGAAACUGUGGAAAAUGAACCUGUUAAUCUUGAAGAAUUGGCUUUCAAGUUUGCAGUCACCAGCAUUAACAGAAACCGAACCUUGAUGCCUAACACCACAUUAACCUAUGACAUCCAGAGAAUUAAUCUUUUCGAUAGUUUUGAAGCGUCCCGCAGAGCCUGUGACCAGUUAGCUCUCGGUGUGGCUGCUCUCUUCGGCCCUUCUCAUAGCUCCUCGGUCAGCGCUGUGCAGUCCAUUUGCAAUGCUCUGGAAGUUCCACACAUACAGACUCGAUGGAAGCACCCUUCAGUGGACAAUAAAGACUUGUUUUACAUCAACCUGUACCCAGAUUAUGCAGCUAUCAGCAGGGCAGUCCUGGAUCUGGUCCUCUAUUACAACUGGAAAACAGUGACCGUGGUGUACGAAGACAGCACAGGUCUAAUUCGUCUGCAAGAACUCAUCAAAGCUCCCUCCAGAUACAACAUUAAAAUCAAAAUCCGCCAGCUGCCCUCUGGGAAUAAAGAUGCUAAGCCUUUACUCAAGGAGAUGAAGAAGGGCAAGGAGUUCUAUGUGAUAUUUGAUUGUUCACAUGAAACAGCAGCUGAAAUCCUUAAACAGAUUCUGUUCAUGGGCAUGAUGACUGAAUACUACCACUACUUUUUCACAACCUUGGACUUAUUUGCUCUAGACCUGGAACUCUACAGGUACAGUGGGGUGAACAUGACUGGGUUCCGGCUACUCAACAUUGACAACCCUCAUGUGUCAUCCAUCAUCGAGAAGUGGUCCAUGGAGAGGCUGCAGGCCCCACCCAGGCCGGAGACUGGUCUUUUGGACGGCAUGAUGACCACAGAAGCUGCUCUGAUGUACGACGCUGUGUACAUGGUGGCCAUCGCCUCCCACCGGGCCUCACAGCUGACCGUCAGCUCCCUGCAGUGCCAUCGACACAAGCCCUGGCGCCUGGGACCCCGAUUUAUGAACCUGAUCAAAGAGGCUCGGUGGGAUGGCCUGACUGGGCGUAUCAUCUUUAAUAAGACGGAUGGCUUGAGGAAGGAUUUUGAUCUGGACAUUAUUAGUCUCAAAGAAGAAGGAACUGAAAAGAUCGGGAUUUGGAACUCCAACAGUGGGCUUAACAUGACGGAUGGCCACAAAGAAAAGACCAACAAUAUCACCGACUCACUGGCCAACCGAACACUCAUUGUCACCACUAUUCUGGAAGAGCCCUAUGUGAUGUACCGAAAAUCAGAUAAACCCCUGUAUGGAAACGACAGAUUUGAAGGAUAUUGCCUGGAUCUGUUGAAAGAACUGUCAAAUAUUCUAGGUUUCCUUUACGAUGUUAAACUAGUCCCAGAUGGCAAAUAUGGAGCCCAGAAUGACAAAGGAGAGUGGAAUGGGAUGGUUAAAGAGCUCAUAGAUCAUAGGGCUGACCUGGCAGUGGCCCCCCUGACCAUCACUUAUGUGCGGGAGAAAGUGAUUGACUUCUCCAAGCCCUUUAUGACUUUGGGCAUCAGCAUCCUUUACCGGAAGCCCAAUGGGACCAACCCAGGUGUCUUUUCCUUCCUCAACCCUCUGUCUCCGGAUAUUUGGAUGUAUGUCCUCUUAGCCUGCUUGGGAGUCAGCUGUGUUCUCUUUGUCAUUGCAAGGUUUACACCUUAUGAAUGGUAUAACCCCCACCCGUGCAACCCUGACUCAGAUGUGGUGGAAAACAAUUUUACUUUACUAAAUAGUUUCUGGUUUGGAGUUGGAGCUCUCAUGCAGCAAGGAUCAGAGCUGAUGCCUAAGGCUCUCUCGACCAGGAUAGUUGGUGGAAUAUGGUGGUUUUUCACCCUAAUCAUCAUUUCAUCCUACACUGCCAAUCUUGCUGCCUUCUUGACAGUAGAGAGGAUGGAAUCCCCCAUAGACUCAGCAGAUGAUCUGGCAAAGCAAACCAAGAUAGAAUAUGGUGCUGUCAGAGAUGGAUCAACAAUGACCUUCUUCAAGAAAUCAAGGAUAUCCACCUAUGAGAAGAUGUGGGCUUUCAUGAGCAGCAGGCAGCAGACCGCCCUGGUGAAAAACAGCGAUGAGGGCAUCCAGAGGGUACUCACCACUGACUACGCCCUGCUAAUGGAGUCCACCAGCAUCGAGUAUGUGACGCAGAGGAACUGCAACCUCACCCAGAUUGGGGGCCUCAUCGACUCCAAAGGUUACGGAGUGGGGACCCCUAUAGGCUCUCCUUACCGGGAUAAAAUUACAAUCGCUAUUCUUCAAUUACAAGAAGAGGGGAAGCUGCAUAUGAUGAAAGAGAAAUGGUGGCGGGGAAACGGCUGCCCAGAAGAAGACAGCAAAGAGGCUAGUGCUCUCGGAGUAGAAAAUAUCGGGGGCAUCUUCAUUGUCCUGGCUGCUGGACUGGUCCUUUCUGUAUUUGUAGCCAUUGGAGAAUUUAUUUACAAAUCACGAAAGAACAAUGAUGUUGAACAGGCUUUUUGUUUCUUUUAUGGACUGCAAUGUAAGCAAAGCCAUCCAACCAACUCCACUUCUGGAACUACUUUAUCUACGGACUUAGAAUGUGGCAAAUUAAUUCGAGAGGAAAAAGGGAUUCGGACACAGUCUUCAGUUCAUACUGUAUAAUCAGUUUUUCUUUUUUAUGAAAAGAAAAAAAGAUGUGCCCAGUAGAAAUUGUUUCUAUUUGGUGUUGCUAUGUCUGUAUCUAGUAAGCCUACAUAACCAUAAAUCCCUAUCCCUUGAUGCUAGCAAAACUCAUGUGACUACUCUAGACAUGGAAUUCAAUGCACUGGAAAGACAUACACACUAUACAUUGCUGCAGGGUUGUAUUAAGAGUGUCUAGACUCAUACAUGUGUAUAUGGGAAUCUAGUCUGUCUAAAGUAGUUUUUUAUUCUGUUUUCUUGCAUUAAAAUAAGUGACUCUUUCCUCAUGAAAAAAAGAGAAUCAGAUCUUCCAACAGUCCAAAGCAUAAAAACGAAAUGCUAAUUCUAUGCACUACUUUUCCUCUUUAUGACCCUUUCCCCACUGCUCUCCUUCUCUCUGUCCCAUACGCUCCUUAGAUUCACAAACUUCAAACUUCCUGAAGCCAUUACACAUUCAAUAAGUUCACAUAACUCCAUAACAAUGUUAAUUUUUAAUUCAAAUUGAUUCCACUAUUUAAAAUGUAUUAUUUACACAAAGACUCAAAGGCGCCUUUCAUUUUAAAGAUUCAAAAGCCAUGAUCCAGAGAAUCAUGCACUUGAAUCUCUGACAUCAAUGCAGAAGAGGAUUACCUACAUUGAACAUCACUCAUAGAAACACAACACAUUCAAGAAUGAUUCCUGAGCAAAAAUGAGUAACAUCAAGUUCUCAAACAGUAUUUACUCAACACAUUCAAGAAUGAUUCCUGAGCAAAAAUGAGUAACAUCAAGUUCUCAAACAGUAUUUACUUAUAGAAUGUAGUAAUCUUCCAGAAGUUAUAAAGAACUAAUAUUUUUUCAGGCUAUAUAUUAUUUCUUUGAAAAGGCCUAAGCUGUGAACUAACUCAUAGCAUCUUGCAUUUACUGACCACUCACCCUCACGCUUGGCCCUGAUGAACAUCUUUCCAAGAAAUGUUAUUCCAUCCCUUCCCACUUGCCUAGGAGGAUCGAGUGGUUGCUUUGGAAGCAAUCUUUUCUGGGCAUUGCCACACACCCUCAUCUCUGUAGCUCUAUCACCAUUGCUAAUUCAUUCCAACGAAUGGAGUGUGUUGGAGAGAAGGGCAAGGAGAAAAUAAACACAGGAAAGAAUGGUUGAAUGUAUUCGCUGCAGAUUCCUAUAAAUUUAUGUUCCACCUGCAUUCAAAGUACUGUAAGUAAUCCCCACACUAACCCAACUUGGUUACACAGAAAAUCAAUCGCAUACUUCACUUGCUGUGACAGGGAAUGUCUGCUGGUCCCUCUGGGCUUGUUUCCCCUACACAGAGAGUAGGUAAAUUGAAGAUGCCUUUUACCUUCCCUCAAUAUGCCAUCAAUUGGUCUUCUUGACACAUCAAGUGAUCCCCUAAAAUACAUUCCUCAGAAGUAGGGAUUUGCCAUCUAUGCACUCAGGUUGCAUUGUUUUCUUCUUGUUUAGUUUUAAAUGGAUUCCAAUUUUUAAGCACAAAUCUUUCCAACCAACCAAUAUUCCUUCAAUACAGCAAGUUCAGAAAAGUUGAUUCUUGCCCUGAUUGUUUCUCAGUCUCGUCUUCUUCUUGAAAUAAAUAUACUCUUAAGACAGUAUCUAUAAAUUAUACUACUAUUUAUUUGCCAUCAUUGAAGUAGAAGUCACCUACUUUUUCUUUCAAGUGAGACUUCAAAUUUUUUUUUGUUUUGGGCUAAAUAUUACAUUUUGUUUCAUAUUUUAUUACUUCAGUUAUAUAGAAACCCUACAGUACCUCAGCUCAUUUUUCUAAAACUAUCUAAUAGACAAAAAUGUUAACAACAACUUCAGAGGUAAUCGAUGAAGUAUAAAAACUCAGGUUUAAAAUUACUAACAAAAUUGUCUUUCUACAGAGAUCAUCAUUUAAAUGUUUAGAGAUUUAGGUAAAUGAUCCCUGUAAAAAUAAUAUCUGUGUACUACAUUAAAUUAUAUACUAACUAAUUCUUACAUUUAAUACGAUUUUAUAGUUUUCAAGAUAUUUUCACACACAGCAUUAAAGUUGAUCUUUUCAGCAAUUUUAACUCAACUUUACCAACAGAGAAACAUCAUGCCUAGGGUCAGAGGGAAUUUUAUAAACUAGCCAAACUUAGGUUUACCCAUAAAAUGACUGUAGCUAAACUGAUCAAUUUCUCAGUCUCAGUUCUCUAACAUAUAAUUUCUGAAAAAUAAGAGCGUCAUUGCUAAGACAUAAGGUUGUCUAGGAAAUUUUUUUCAAAAUAAUUCUAUUGCUAAGUCUUUCUCAAGUAAAAUUUUCCUGAUUAAAUAUAACAACAUCACACUGAAUAUUCUUUUACUGCAUAUCUUGCUGUGUUUAAUUUGUUGUAAGGAUCAAGAAUUUCCAACAAGGUGGGAAACUAUUCAGCAUUUCCCAUACCUCUAUUAGAUCAGAAUUUUGUUUUCCCCCAGAGCUUCUUGACACACCAGUGUUCCACAGACAACCCCUAGAGAGCAGUGGGGCUAUGAUGUGAACCUCACUCCAUGAUAAUGUACCAAAUAUAAUGCACUGCAUGGGGCCCAUUGUAGCCAUGCAGUAAGCAAUCAUGUACUAUUUGAAGUAAAUUUUUCACUUCUCUGAGCUUCAAUGUCCUCAAAUGAAGAAGGUACAAAAUUAAAUGGAAUCAUUUGCCAGAGAAAAAUGAAGCCAUUGGUAAAGGACUUGUUAAUAAAGAUUGGUUAACAAAUGUAAGUUGGUCCCUACUAGAGAAAGUAAGUACUUCUCUCUGGUCGCAUAGUGGCAGGAAAAAUUUACUAAGCAUCAUAAUACAGAGUCAGAUUUCAAAAACAGAUUUACUAAUGUAGAGAUUCAAAUUCUGCCUCUAAGACUAACUUUUCCUGCACAAGCAUUACAAAUCAAUGACAAGGUAACUUUACCCAAAAGAAAACUCAGAUUAGCAACACGUUAGGAUCUAUAGUGAAAGUCUGAGAUUUCAUCCUUAGGCUUUGUGAUUUAAUUAGUCUGGAGGUAGAGGAGGACACUAGCUAUUCCAAUAUCCAUUUGAUUCUAAAGGGCAAUUAGGUCGAGAAUCAAUAAGCACACAUUCAUGUAUAUAAUUGAAACUUAAUAACUCAUCCAUACUUCUUUAUUCUAAAGGUAAACUUAUUAAUUCCACAUAUAAUUUCACAUGUAGUGUUCAAUAUUCAAUGGACUUUUUACAUGAAAAACUGAAAGAAACUGUAUACAUUUAUUACAGGUAUUACACAAUAAUUAACUGAUAAUCUCCCAUUUAAUUUCAAAACAGUGAAAUUGUCAAAGAGAUUAUUUGUCAAAACUGUCAUACAGAUAGUUCAUUGCUUUCUUUUAUUUACACUUCAUACUUUUCUUUUUCUCCUUUCAUUCUAAAAUUAUGGUUAUGAUGUAAAUGAUGGCCAAGAGAAGACUACACACCCUUACGAGGUUCACUGCAUUUUAAGUGAAAUUUAGAUCAAAAACUUAACUUUAUUUUUAUCUCAAUUGGUGUAAAUCAAAACCACCUGUGGAAAUGAUUCACAGUUCAGAGGAUACACUGUCAGACAUUCUUCUGCACUUUAUCAAGCCUGAAAAUAAAUGCCUCAAAUUACUUUAUGAAGUAUCUUGAAUGAAACAAUUUUUCAAAAUUAAGUUCUACACAGGAAUCUUCUUUAAAGCUAUCUUCAAUAUUGGUGAUUUUUAAAUAACCUUUCUUUCAAGAAUUUUCCCAACAAUAAUAAGUAUACUUGAUUUCCUUAAAAGCAGUUGAUAAACAUGAGUUUUUAAUACAAGCUAGUUUGAACACAGCAGUUUUACUCAAACUAGUGGGUAAUAAGCUUUAAUUAAACAAGAGAAGUUUGUGGAUUGUAGUUUGAGGAAGUAAGUUUAAGGUCGGCAGGACGAUAAGGAGGUAUUAAAAAAUGGAACUAAUAUAUUAAUAGUAAUGAAUCACAUUAUGUUGUUUCCUAAUAAGUCUAUUCCUAGUCUCAUCAUCCCAUAAAAGAAAGAUAAGGUUUUAUUUUGUUUUACACUAAAUUUAUAAAUAAAAAUAUUUUAAAGUGUUUUCUUUUUCAGGAAAAUCAAAACUACCUAAAAAAAAAAAAAAAAAAAAAACAAAAAAAACAAACAAAAAAAAAAAAACUAUGGUACAAAUAUUACCAUUAGGGAAAUCAGCCAGCUCCUGUGAUUAUCAACCUAUCCAAGGUUUAUGUGCAAAUACCUCCUUGCAUUUGACUUGCAUUGUGUCUGAUUCCACAUGAGCUAUUUCUGACUAGACAGUACUACAAGGAGUCUCAAUUAAUUUCCAAGCACAUGAUUCUUCUACAAGUCUAUUUCUCAGCAAGCAUGAGCAGCCUUUGAAAGCAAAAGGAAAGCAAAGCAUUUUUCUGCACUACUUUCUGCACAUCUAACUGUGCCAAAUGGCAUUAUUAAUUAACUCUUACGGAUAAUGAAAUAUCUCACUUGAUGCUGCAGAUUUUACUUGCCUUUACAAACCAUCUCAUUAUGCCUCUCAGAGCUAUGGAAUUUUAGGUCCAGAUGCAGAAACAUAUUAAAAUCAUUUUCGCUUUCAAAAUUCUCUCCAUAGAGACUGGUAUCAUGAAAAAUGAGUUUCUUUCUUAAAUUUUCAAAAAUUUUCUAUUUGCAAACUAAGGGAACUCUCACAAUAGCAAGUGAACAAAACAAACGCACUGUGUGGUUCCACACCUUGCAAACUCAAGUACAGCUAAUGACUGAAACUACUCAGCAAUGUGUAUGCAAACAGAGAGACAGAAAACUGGGGGAGACUUGAAUGACGAAGUAAAAUUUCUGUGUUUCUCCUUAACAAUUACAUUUCUCCAAUUUAGUUUGAUUACAAUUGUCUUUCUCCCAUUCUUCCACUGAAUGACAUGUUCACAAUUCAAAUAUUACAAAAUUCAAAAACCUCAGCUUCUAAACACCAGACAUCCCUGCUCAUUUGGUCUUUACCAACCAUAUGAAUUAAGAAACUACUGUCUACCCAAACUUAGCACAUUUCAGAUGGUUGUAAGUGUGUUCAGCUCCAUUUCUUCUGUAGUUUGGCCAACUUAGCUUGCAAGCGAUGUGCAGAAGCCUGUCUCUGUAAUUAUGUGAACACGAUUGCAUUUGCCUGGAAAUCUAAACAUUUACUAUCAGAGAAGACAGAAAUCACUGAACAGAUUUAGAAAUAAUUUUUCAGUGUACAAGUUGAUGCUGUCUUACAAACCAAACUUUGAAAAAUGUGUACAUUUCAAUAGACAGGUGACUUGGAAAUAAAAAGCUGAGAAUUUACUUCCCAACAGUGCUGCUAAAUUGUUACGUGUCAUUGGUCAGGUCAUUUUAAUUCCCUUAGCCUCAGAGUCCUCAUCCGCAGAAUAACGAACUUGCCUGUGAUAUUCCUUUUCAACCACGAUAGUCAAAAAAAGAAAUCAUAGAAAAUAGGAAGGAAAUAAAAUUUUGGAAGUAGUAAAAGUAAAGUGUUUUGUUCAUACAUUUUUUCAAUGCAGCUGAAUGUCUCUCUUGAACAUAUUACAUUUUUAUUGCAAUAAGAAUUACUUUGCUCUGUUAGUACUUCGAGGUAGAAAGGCAUAUUCUGAAUAGAGAGAAAAGAGUCCCAAACAUCCAGCACAGCACCCAAGAGUGAAAAGGUUCUCAUGCAAUUGAUCAUGGGCAAAUCAUUACAGCAGUGAUGGCUGAAGAAAUGGAAUUCUUCUCAAUUCUGAUGAGCCUACAGGCAAACAUACAAUGACACAGGAAGCUACUGAAGCCUGAGAAUUGGUUAUAUCCUUGCAGGUCAGCAGAGGGUGGAAAUAAGUGGAGCUGGAAGGCACAAUUACUGAAAGUGGGACUUAAGCAUUUUUGUUAAAAAGAAACAAUGAAAAAGAUAACAUGCACUUGUUUUCUGUUGUCUUAUCAUUUCCCCUUUCCAUUAUUAAGUAUCAGAGUUUUUGUAUGAACUUUUCUCAAGUUAUAGAUGAGUCAAACUUUCAAAUUUUGAAUUCAAAGUUAUCUUUGCAAAUUUGUAGUAUUGGCAAAACCAUGGCUUCGAAUUGAAAAUUACAGAUAUUUUGUCGAACAAACCACCUGUUCUAAUUCAAAAAGGUUCACUAAUUAUUAGGAGACAAAACUCAGAAGCUUAACACUGGCGAAACACAGAUUAUAAUGUAUUCCUAUUUAAUUUUCCUGCCCCAGACCAGUUUUGACCACUAGAGAAGAAAGGAGUUAAAGAGAAGCACAAAAAGCUUAGAUACUACCUGAAUCUCUAAGAUGAGGUUCAGUCACAUUCUUAAGCGCAGUCUAAAUUUGAACAGACAGCAACAUAGAAAUUCCAGAAAAGUUCAAAGGGGAUGGUGACUUAAAAAGAUCACUGGGAGCUUCAUGUGGCCCAGAAGAGGAUAAGGUGUGCAGAAAAAUUGUACAUCAAACUGUCUCCUAAACAACAGAAAAACAAUACCUCGAUAGUGAUCUUCUGGGAAGCUUCAUGGGUCUCAACUCCAGAGAACGUGAGAGAAAAUAUCUAAAAUCAACCCUUCCACCAGAAAGCCUUUUGAGCAAGUGUUCAGUGUACCAGAAGACUUUAGAUUGGACAGAAAAGGCACAGAAUACACAGAGCAGACAGGUAGCCUGGGAUGGGACAGUAGCCCUCUCGGGAGUUACAGUAGAAGUAGACUGGUAUCCAUAAUCCAGCAGGAUGUCACACCAGUAUAACUGAGAGGGACAGAAGGUAGCAUGGAAUAAAUGUUCCAAGGUACUCCCCAUGUCUCUCAUAAUCCUAGGUAAUCUUUGCAAUGAAGAGCAGGAGAAAGGAAGUACCUGCAUUACCUGAGUCAUUAACCAAAAGAAAAUACUACAAACCUAAUAAUACUAAUAAUAAAUAAAAGGUGUACCUCACUGACAAGAUUCAUUAGCUGAUGAGGAAACUUAAGAUGAACUCUUAUUUUAAAACAACUGGUAUACAAAAUUGUUUCCAUAUUUGAGCAUAACUUGAGAAAAAUUCAUACCCACGUCAGUGAAUCUAAACCAGUAAUGUAAAGACUCUAUAAGAACUGCAUGCCAGAACUAGCACUAAAAGAAACUGAAACUUACCUAAAAGUUAAUAUACUUUGAGGACACGGCCAUCUCUUAUAGGAGAAAGGGCAUGCAAAAAGUCUCCCUUGGAAAUGUAUUUUUAUGGUCUGAAAUUGCCUCUGAGAUGCUAAAAUGACAGACCCUCUCUAUGAGGUAUGGGAAAGCCAAUUGCUAUGACUUUGCAGACAGAAAGCAAGGAGAAGCCAGAAAGCAGGAAAUGAGCCACACUGGUCUCUGACAGUGACUUCAAACAAAAGAAAAGCACUUUGGGCUUUUGGAUUGCUGUGAUAUAAACCAACAUUUCUUGCACUCUAAGCAAGGAAAGCUACUUAUCUGUGCAUAUAAGGUCCACCUGAAGCCCAGCCUCACUGCAGAAACCCCACUCUGCCUUCUGCUCAUAAGGUUAAGUGGAUCACUUUAAAUCUUCUCUCUAUAUCCUUCACUGCUGCUGCAUCUUUCUGGAGCACAGGAAAGUUUUAACUGUUCUCAAGUGUCCUUUGUUCUCAAGUCCUUCUCAAGUGUCUGAUAUCCUUCAGAAGAUAUCAGAGACCUAGAAGAUUGCCUUGGGUUGGCCUGAUGAUCUGAUCUCCCUUCUCUAGUGACUGCCUGUUCUAAGAGGCUAAGACAGACAGGUGGACACAGUCCUGGCACAGGUGCCACACCUACCUGGCUAUUCAUCUUAUCUCAUUCUCUUGGAGUUUGGUCCGGGCAGGCUCAAAAUGGGAGGUGAAUGACCUUUCUGAGCUAUUCCUGGUAUCUAGGUCAAGAUUCUUCCACCAACUGGUUGAAAUUUUCUCCUUGCAAACAAAUACAAAAGAAUUCUCUCUUCACACACCAUCUUCAAUGUACAGCAUCUGCUUUUUCCUUAUUUAACACACCUGACUUUUAUUAACACAUUCAGAGUGCAAAGUCCUGUUCAGAUCCAUAAAAGUCUAUUUAAGGACUGUAAAUUUAACUUUUUUUUUUUUUUUUUUGCUAUUGCAUCCCUACCCAAAGAACAAUGCAAAUAAAAGCUUAUGCUACAACUUUUAAAAUGGAAAAAAAUGGAAUUCAGAACUAGGGGGUAGGAAGCACACAGAUUAAUAGCAAAAUGUGCUCUUUUCAAGGGUUUCUGUGAAAUUGUCCCUAAUGUUAGAGGAAAAUGAGCUUACAUAUCUUUAUCUACCAGAUAUGGAUUGCAUAACCCCUGGCAGUCAAGCCAUGUGCAAAACUGCUUUUUGAAAUUCUUUUAAAAAUAGAGAUCCAUGUGGAUCAUGCAUGCCACUCACAAUAUAUUUAUUUUAGAGGGAUAAUAAGUUUUCUAAGUGCAAUCUUUAAAUAAAUGUAAGCCACAAAAGAAGACUUUUGUGUAGUGUAUGUCAUUAAAUAGCUCUAGAUUUAUUUUUGUAGUUUAAGAACUCAGGUAAGAAAACAGGAACUCUACAGACUGAAUUCUUACAAAGAGAAACACUUAAAUAUAACAUCCAAGAAAGCAAAAAUACUGGCAACAAGUUCCAGUGGGUGGGAGGAAAGGUGAAAUAAGGAAGAAAAAAGGACAGAGGUAGUAGAACAUGACCUUAAGGGUCUCGAGAAUAUGAGCUAGAGGCAUUUACAUGCUAUAGCCAAAGAUAGGAAAAAGUAGAGGAAGCCAGUUUAUAGCCAUAAAACACAGGGAAAUGGGCUUAACCAGGAAGGUUUCUACAAUCAUAGGUAGGGAUCAGGCACUGUGAGCACAUUAGAAAUUAUGCUUUAGUGUCUAGAUUUCCCCUACCACAAGACUUUCAGUAUAGCCAGGAGGAGUCAGGUCCACCAUUGUUUCUCAGGCUCAAACCAACAUUACCAUUGCUCUGGAGCCUUAUUCAAUAAUCCACUCAUAAUGCAGUGGUCACUUUUUAGACGUUGUCUAAUUCUCUUUUUCAAAAUCCAAGGAUUGGAGCAUGAAAAAUAGCCUGAAGAUUCUGAAUAAACUCAGAAAACAUAAAAUGAGAGCAAACAGUGCCUAAAGCCUCAAUUCUAGAAUGAGGAACUUCACACAAAGAUGGUACAUACAUAACUACUCCAAGGACAAGCUUCCACCGACUUUUACUUAACUACUAGGAAUGAAGAGAGGAUGCCUGGAGCCUAAACUCUGCUCCCAGAGAAUCAGUGACCCUGUAAGAAGCAAAGCCUUUGUGUAUAGGUGACUAAACUUUCCAAUCCCAUAAGUUGGCAAAUAUACAAAUAGGAUUUCUGUUCCUGUGCCCUAAAACAUUUCCUGAUUAUAAGCAUAAAACUUGUUCAAUUUUCCACAGGAAAAGAGCUAUUUUCCUGCGUAUUUAAAAAAAAUGUUAAGGAUGGGAAUUCUUAGUCCUUCUUGAUAUAAAAAAAAAUCCAUUGAGACAUUGAUUCCAUGGAACUGUAGCAAUAAUUUAUCCAAGCCAAGAAACUGAUAAUCACAGGAGCCAAGCAUACAGCUCUGUGACACAGUGCCUGCCUGGCGAGUGCAAGGUCCUGAGUUCAAUUCUUAGUACCAAAAGAAAAAAAAUCCCAUUAUUUCUCAGAAAUUUGUUUGCUUGGCAUUCCAUAUUUUACUGAAAAUGUUUUUUACAGAAAGACUUCAAGUCAUAGCUUGAUUUUAAAUCAUAGGAGGUUCAUACUUCAAGUGACAGGCUUUACAUCUAUAAAAUGACAAUAAUGUCAUACUGUAAUUCUGUUCCAUGUGAAAUGUGAAAAUUUAUUAAAUAAUGUCAUAGUAUACUUCAAGUAUCUUUGAAUAAGUAGCCUAAUAACCCAAAAGGAGAAAAGUAUCCAAAAUGUAAGAUCUGUAUUACAUUAUUGGCUCAGAGAGCUCUUAAAAAUGAUCUAUUAAAAAAAGGCAUAAACAUCAAAGUAAUUUUCCAAAUUUCCAUAUACAAGUACCAGUGAAUGAACAAAUUGAAUGUAUAAAUGUUGAAUUUGCAGCAAAAAGUCAAUCUGACAUUCACAAUCUGAUGCAGGUUUGCAACUGAUAUGAAGCCAAUCUCAGACACCCAGCUUUUAAAUAACAUACAUCUAAAUCAAACUGUAAUGCAGAGUUUUUCCUAUAACUUAAAAAAUUAUUCUCUUUCUUUGAACUAUUUUUCUGAGGCAAUGUGCUUUAGGAACAAAACAAAAAGAACUCUGUGAGUUUUUCCCACAUGUUCCAGGACAGCAUUUGCAAGAAGAAUAAAGGCACAAUAAAAAAUGAGAUAUCUUACAUUCAGGCUCAUAUUAGCACCAAAAAAUCAAUUAUUGGAGCUAAUUCAAGAAGGUACCAUGAAGUCAGCAGUCAUAAAGUGAAACACACCAAAGGGGAAGAUCAAGGACACCAGUGAAGGAAGGAGAAGCUAAGGAUACAGCUCGAGGGAUGCCCAGGGAGUGAACACUCAGAAAAGACAAGUGAUAUUUGAUAAAACUGAAGUGUGUACGCAGAUUUUUUUCCUCUCAAAUCAGGAGAGGUGUAGUUCUAGAUUGCAUUUCCCUUGCAAGUGGAAUUUCUUUUCAGAUUUAUCGUCACAGCAAUGCAUUAUAAAUGGGUUCCCAAGCACACGGAUUUAUUUCUAAAGGAGAAAGAACUUUCAUGUUUGAGCACCUGAUCUUCAUGCAUCAUGACACAGCUGCCACGAUGUCACUGCCUAAACCGACACAGAAACAUGCAAUGGGCUGAACAAACAGCCUUAAAGGUACUGAGAAAUUAUAUUCAAGUAUGUAGGUGAUCCUAUUUAUGCACAACAUUAACAUCAACAAAAGUAUUGCUGAAUGGACAGGGAUAAAUGAAAGAAGCAUCAACCUUUUCAAAAAAAAUAGUGAGAAAAAGAAAAAACAAGCAGGCAAAUGCCAUCGAUUAAAGUAUUUUCACCAUGGUGAUAAAAUUUUUUAGAAAAAAGCUUAUUUACAACGUGUCAACAUUUGAACACACGUCAUUCACACACAUGCAUGUGCACACACACACACACGCAUACAUGCACGCACAUAUUAACCCAUUGGAUUCUCAUAGUAGUUCCAUGGAAGGGGUCUUACUAAUAUCUUACGGAUAAAGAUACUGAAUCAAAGAGAAAAUAAACUCUACCCAGUUUAACACAGCUAAGCCCCAUAACUGAAGUUUAAACAGAAGUAUUCUAAGAUGCCAGUGACCAAUUCCAAAGUUUAAUUAAGUCACAUAUAGAUCCACUAAAAAUGUGAUUGUGCAUUAGAGAUAAAUAGAAAUCUUUAAGGUCCAAAUUGUUGGGAGUAUUUCCAGGCUUCAAUAAACCAAAGGAAAUCAGUAGGAUAUUCUGCUUUCAACAAUAGUGCUUCUGGAGAUAGCAGCUAGCUAAAUGUGGCUAUGUUUAAUACUUCUUGAUGAACUUAGAGUCUAGGAAUUUAAGCUUAUCAUGUUAAAAAAUAAUGUUCUCACAAUUCCGUUGGCGUGAGAAACCCAAAAACUCCAAGCCCAGAAAUGUAAGCUCUAGAAAGCUGCUGUAAUUUUGAUUCUGAUUCUGAAACUCAAUCUUUGUGUUCUACAUGGACCUUUAUUUCUGAGAUUAUAAAACGCAAAAUAAUUAAUAAAUAGGGGUCCAUCUCAUACCCCCCUGUGAGAUCCACUCCAGGCUGAGAGAUGACCUUCAUUUCAGAUGACUGUUUCAUUUCCUGUGGAUACGAAAAUGUGUGCUUUAGUUGAGCUCAGGCUGCCAGGGACCUUAAAGGUCAUCUUUCCUUGUGACUACAACAAAAAUUUGGAAGCAGAAAGGUCAGUCCCAGUAUCUUGCCAUUUUCUUUUUGACAGUUAGAGACAAAGUGAGAAUCAAAAAGAAAUCACUCUUUGCGGCCAAAGACAGAAAUCAGGCCACCUAUGAAGCUAUAUUUCUAUUCAUUCUCAUAUAAGAAUCAAGAAAUCACUAGGAUAUUUGAGCUUAAUAAGAAUAAAGAUGCUAGUUGCACUUUAAGGCUGUCAAAAUUUGGGGGAAGAUUUUCUUUCCUUUUUAAAGAAAAACUUCACUGAAGCAUAUUUUCAGGAUAAGAUCUGUGAUGAUCGCUCUACCCAACAUAGAAAAGGGAUCUUCAGAAAGCAGUUUCUUCAUUGCAUUUCAUAUGCACUCAGGAGGUUCCUUUGGAUGAUUUCAAUAUAAAUGAAAUGAAAUAUCUGAGUUCAAAUACAUGAAAACUGAAAUAAAAUAGAUAAUUCCUACAAUGUGUGUUUUAUGGGAAAUAAUUUGCAAAAGGUAUUUUUAAUGACUAAAAAAUUAAAACCAAGACAUAGGUAUUUCCAGUAAAAGUAAUUGAAUUGAAUGCAAAUGCAGGCUUUUUCUCUGAGGUAGAUUACUUAAUAUCCCUAACAGUAAACGUCUCCAUCUCUCAUAACAAUUUAAUAACAUUGUGUUACAAGGUUGCUGUGAGAUUUUAGGUAAUAUGUGUUCGUAGGUCCCUUGGAGCUAUUUCUUUUGUUUCAUCCUUUCCUCUCAUUUUAAUUAUCUUACUGAAACUAGAAAUGUCCUGUAUCAAAAAAAAAAAAAAAAACUCUACUGAAAUAAACUUUUGAGCAAAGUUCACAACACUGUUUAUCACAAUAACACUAUAAAACAUAUCAUCGUAGUGACAGCAACACGUAGACUACAUGGCAUAAUGCUAAAAUAAAUUCUAUUUCAUUUGCAAUAUACCUGCUGUACCACUAGGAAGUAUAGUUCCUAGAAAACACUUCUGAAUAUUUUCUUUGUAUGUGUGCCACUAAACCUUCUCAAUGCACCAAAGCCACAAUUUACCAUUUGAAAGAAAGUUAACACGCAUGACCUGAAUUCUCAGCUUUGAGCACCACAGGAAAAUGGAAAUAAAAUUCAAAUCUUAUAAACAUAUGCUUAAAAGAGACAAAAAGCGUUGUGCAAAGUAGUAGUUUGUCAAAAGAUUAUGUCCAGAAUCUAAACUUAUGCAUUUGAAUUUCAAAUACAAACAUUGAAAAACUACUAGUUAACCUACAUCAAGUUCCUUUACACAAAAUUGAAUACAAAUUUUCAAAACUGUAUGAUGCAUAUUGAUACACAAAGACCACAUUGUUUAUAACUCUGCAAAUAUGGGGUCUCGGUUUCUUUGCUACAUGACACAACCUAGAGAAACGGUCUUUUAUCUGACUCUCUACCUUUUCCAUCUUGUAAGCCAACACUAAAAUAGUAAUGUUUGCACUCCUAUAAUCUGUACUAAAGACUGCAUUUUUGAAAGAUUUCUUUUUAUUGUAGUAAAAAUUUAUAACGUGAGAUCUACCCUUUAGCAAAUGACAAGUACAUAAUACAAUACUGGCAGCUGUAGGCACAGUGCAGUGAGCAAGACCUCUGGAUUUUGUUCAUUUUGCAUAAUUGAAACUUUGUACCAAAUGAACAGCCACUGCCCCCACUUCUCUCUCUCUCCUCAGUCCCUGUCUAGGGCUGAUCCUUCUGUUUCAAGGAAUCUGAGUAUGGUAGGUGCUUCAUGCCAACUUUGUUCUUCUGUUCUGUCUUAUGUGAUUAAAGGCUCCCUUAAAAGUAACCUCAUCAAAAAACAAACCCAUGGAAAUCCUUAAAAGCAAAACUUUAUGACUCAAGUAUCUUAUCUUGGAUAGAAGAAAUGACAGCAAAAGAUGUUUUACUGAGCCAUUUAUAUACUGUGCAUGUGAAUAUCGUUCAAUUGUAAUGGAGAUGUAUAUCUAUGUAUAUAGAUAGAUAUCAUCUGCAUAUGUACAACAUGGUAUCAUUAUAGUUCCACUUUCUUUUGCAUUAUGCCAUCGUUUUUGCUGUGCAGUUCUGUAUCAUGUCAUUUUCCAUUUCAAUCACAGCUGCAUCAUUGCUGCUGCCAGAAUCUCUGUUUUUUUGGAGAAAAUAUACAAUUUAAAAUUGUUUUUUUUUCUUUUUUUAUUCAGAAAGGAAAGUCAUCAAGACUUAGAUUUUAUUUUAGGAACAAAGUAAGGUUUCAUGGGAGAAAAAAACAAAGCCUUGGUGUAGAGAAGUGUCUGUCUUUCAAUGCCAUCAUGGAAGAACUGGGGAUCUCCCUCAAGAAUCAAAAAAAAUUAAAGAAAAAGUCAAGAACUAAGGGGAAAUCUUCUUUCACAAGUAUUCUUACUUGUCAUCAGAGACGAACUCAGAGGAAAGAGACUGUGGCAUGACCCAAGAAAA